rnacentral:rRNA from 1 species
AGUGAACGCUGGCGGUAGGCCUAACACAUGCAAGUCGAACGGCAGCACAGUAAGAGCUUGCUCUUACGGGUGGCGAGUGGCGGACGGGUGAGGAAUACAUCGGAAUCUACUUUUUCGUGGGGGAUAACGUAGGGAAACUUACGCUAAUACCGCAUACGACCUACGGGUGAAAGCAGGGGAUCUUCUGACCUUGCGCGAUUGAAUGAGCCGAUGUCGGAUUAGCUAGUUGGCGGGGUAAAGGCCCACCAAGGCGACGAUCCGUAGCUCGUCUGAGAGGAUGGUCACCCACACUGGAACUGAGACACGGUCCAGACUCCUACGGGAGGGAGCAGUGGGGAAUAUUGGACAAUGGGGGCAAGCCUGAUCCAGCCAUACCGCGUGGGUGAAGAAGGCCUUCGGGUUGUAAAGCCCUUUUGUUGGGAAAGAAAAGCAGAAGGUUAAUACCCCGCUGUUCUGACGGUACCCAAAGAAUAAGCACCGGCUAACUUCGUG